rnacentral:rRNA from 1 species
AAGUUGUUGCAAUAAAAAAUCUCGUAGUUGGACUUUGGGAUGGGCCGGCCGGUCCGCCCUAGAUGUGCACCGGUCGUCUCGUCCCUUCUGUCGGGCGAUGUGCUCAUGGCGUUUAAUGGCCGGGUCGUGCCUCCGACGCUGUUACUUUGAAGAACUAGAGUGCUCAAAGAAAGCCUACGCUUUGUAUACAUUAGCAUGGGAUAACAUUAUAGGAUUUCGGUCAUAUUACGUUGGCCUUCAGGAUCGGAGUAAUGAUUAACAAGGAUAGUCGGGGACAUUCGUAUUUCAUAGUCAGAGGUGAAAUGCUUGGAUUUAUGAAAGAUGAACAACUGCGAAAGCAUUUGCCAAGAAUAUUUUCAUUAACCAAGAACGAAAUUUGGAGCUCGAAGAUGAUUAGAUACCGUCCUAGUCUCAACCAUAAACGAUGCUGACCAGGGAUCGACGGAUGCUGCUUUUAGGACUCCGCCGCCACCUUAUGAGAAAUCAAAGUUUUUGGGUUCUG